GGGGGCGACUGACAAGCGACCCUACCUGUUACACCUGAAGGGAGAACUACUUGUUACACCUGAAGGGAGAACUUAGUAAUAGUAACUCACAGCUCUCGACAAGAGCAGAGGGAAGAACGGGUGUGUAUCUCUUGGAUGCAUGAUCAUGGUGAUAUCUAUGAAACACAUAUAGGCAUCGAGAGAGG